rnacentral:lncRNA from 1 species
UUGGAGAACAAUGAAGCGUGAGCUGGAGGGGAGCGAGCGGGCCGCCGGGAGCGCACUGUGUACAAACAGAGGCGGCGUGCGUCCUUUGGAAGGAAUUGGGCCAUGAGAAGAGCCCUCAUGAAUGGGAUUAGUUCCCUUAUAAGAAGAGACACCAAGGAAGUGAUCUUUCUCUGCCCUCUGCUAUGUGAAGACAAGGUCAUCUGCAGUUUUUUGUUGUUGUUGAUGAUCUUCCUGUCAUAGACAAUGCUGUAACAAACAGACUAAUUGUUCACUGUUGACAUAUAGAAGUACUACUGAUUGGCCAGACAUAGUGGCUCAUGCCUGGAAUCCCAGCACUUUGGGAGGCCAAGGCAGGUGGAUCACUUGAGCCCAGA